AUUGAACGCUGGCGGCAGGCCUAACACAUGCAAGUCGAGCGGAGCGGCGGACGGGUGAGUAAGGACUAGGGAUCUGCCUGGUAGUGGGGGAUAACGUCCGGAAAGGGGCGCUAAUAACGCAGACGAUCAGAGGGGCCUAGGUCGGAUUAGCUAGAUGGUGGGGUAAUGGCCUACCAAGGCGACGAUCCGUAACUGGUCUGAGAGGAUGAUCAGUCACACUGGAACUGAGACACGGUCCAGACUCCUACGGGAGGCAGCAGUGGGGAAUAUUGGACAAUGGGCGAAAGCCUGAUCCAGCCAUGCCGCGUGUGUGAAGAAGGUCUUCGGAUUGUAAAGCACUUUAAGUUGGGAGGCGUUACCUACAGAAUAAGCACCGGCUAACUACGUGCCAGCCGCCGCGGUAAUAC
rnacentral:rRNA from 1 species